CCCCGUACACAAAAAUGCACAUGCUGUGAGCUCGAUGAGUAGGGCGGGACACGUGGUAUCCUGUCUGAAUAUGGGGGGACCAUCCUCCAAGGCUAAAUACUCCUGACUGACCGAUAGUGAACCAGUACCGUGAGGGAAAGGCGAAAAGAACCCCGGCGAGGGGAGUGAAAAAGAACCUGAAACCGUGUACGUACAAGCAGUGGGAGCACGCUUAGGCGUGUGACUGCGUACCUUUUGUAUAAUGGGUCAGCGACUUAUAUUCUGUAGCAAGGUUAACCGAAUAGGGGAGCCGAAGGGAAACCGAGUCUUAACUGGGCGUUAAGUUGCAGGGUAUAGACCCGAAACCCGGUGAUCUAGCCAUGGGCAGGUUGAAGGUUGGGUAACACUAACUGGAGGACCGAACCGACUAAUGUUGAAAAAUUAGCGGAUGACUUGUGGCUGGGGGUGAAAGGCCAAUCAAACCGGGAGAUAGCUGGUUCUCCCCGAAAGCUAU
rnacentral:rRNA from 1 species